rnacentral:rRNA from 1 species
CACGUAGGGUGCGAGCGUUGUCCGGAAUUAUUGGGCGUAAAGAGCUCGUAGGCGGUGUGUCGCGUCGGCCGUGAAAACCUGCAGCUUAACUGUGGGCGUGCGGUCGAUACGGGCAUCACUGGAGUUCGGCAGGGGAGACUGGAAUUCCUGGUGUAGCGGUGAAAUGCGCAGAUAUCAGGAGGAACACCCGGUGGCGAAAGGGCGGGCCCCCCUGGGACCCGGGUA